CGGAGGGUGCUAAGCGUUAUCCGGAUUCACUGGGUUUAAAGGGUGCGUAGGUGGGCUAGUAAGUCAGUGGUGAAAUCUCCGGGCUUAACCCGGAAACUGCCAUUGAUACUAUUAGUCUUGAAUGUUGUGGAGGUAAGCGGAAUAUGUCAUGUAGCGGUGAAAUGCUUAGAUAUGACAUAGAACACCGAUAGCGUAGGCAGCUUACUACACAAUAUUGACACUGAGGCACGAAAGCGUGGGGAUCAAACAGGAUUAGAUACCCUGGUAGUCCACGCCCUAAACGAUGGAUACUCGACAUCAGCGAUACACUGUUGGUGUCUGAGCGAAAGCAUUAAGUAUCCCACCUGGGAAGUACGACCGCAAGGUUG
rnacentral:rRNA from 1 species